GGGGCUGUAGCUCAGUUUGGGAGAGCGCCUCAAUGGCAUUGAGGAGGUCAGGGGUUCGAGCCCCCUCAGCUCCACCA
rnacentral:tRNA from 1 species